rnacentral:rRNA from 1 species
UACGUAGGGUGCGAGCGUUAAUCGGAAUUACUGGGCGUAAAGCGUGCGCAGGCGGUUCGUUGUGUCGGCGGUGAAAGCCCCGGGCUCAACCUGGGAAUGGCCGUUGAAACUGGCGAACUGGAGUGUGGCAGGAGGGGGGUGGAAUUCCGACGUGUAGCAGUGAAAUGCGUAGAGAUGUGGAGGAACACCGAUGGCGAAGGCAGCCCCCUGGGCCGACACUGACGCUCAUGCACGAAAGCGUGGGGAGCAAACAGG